UACAGAGGGUGCGAGCGUUGUUCGGAAUCACUGGGCGUAAAGCGCACGUAGGCGGAUUUGUAAGUCAGGGGUGAAAUCCUGGAGCUCAACUCCAGAACUGCCUUUGAUACUGGCGAGCUUGAGUCCGGGAGAGGUGAGUGGAACUGCGAGUGUAGAGGUGAAAUUCGUAGAUAUUCGCAAGAACACCGGUGGCGAAGGCGGCUCACUGGCCCGUAACUGACGCUCAUGCACGACAGCGUGGGGAUCAAACAGG
rnacentral:rRNA from 1 species